UUCAUUCUUUUUUUUUUUUUGUAGGCAUGCAUUCUCGCGUUUAGUGUUUUCGGGUUGGUAUGUGAAAUGCUCAACAUAAUCUCAAAGUUUGAUUUGUUUGCCUCUUUUAGGUUUUGUUGUGACAUUAUAUUUGACUGAUAUCUUGAAUUCAUCUCGUUAUUGUUGUGCAUUGAAACUUUAAUUGCGUGUUUAUUGUUACGAGCUGUUCCUUCUGCUGUUGAGGAUUGUGUUUUUGUGUUGUGCAUCAUCGACUAUCCAUUUGUGACCGGAGUGCCUGUAGACUACUACUUUUUAUUGGUUAUGUUAACCAUAAUCAGCUGCUAUCUUGGCUUGGACCAGAAAUCUCCUGUCUUGACCAUUUAGACAUUGUGCACUGUCUCAUAUAUGAUUGAAAGGAGGAUUUAAAGAAGCCUUUUACUGGUUUUUACUUCAUAGGGUGUUGCUUGAAUAGUUGUUUGUACACUAGAACCCAUGAUACAGAAAUUACUGAAACUGGUGGGAUGAAGUGAACUAACUUCAAUCAAAGGUGAAACAUGGAAACCACUAAAUCUUCAGUUAUAGUUUAAGAGACCAUAAUCUUAUCAUUUUUUGUCACUCCAUAAACAAGAUGGCAAGUAGUCAUUUUAUCAUUUUAUUACAUCAGUCUCAGUUUGGUUUCCAUUGUUGUCCAUAACUUUAUAUACUAUGCACAGUUUCUUGAGGAGUUUGUUGCCUGUAUUUAUAA